rnacentral:rRNA from 1 species
GACGAACGCUGGCGGCGUGCUUAACACAUGCAAGUCGAACGGAGUGGCGAACGGGUGAGUAACACGUGGGUGACCAGCCCUGCCUUUCGGGCUAAGCCUGGGAAACUGGCGCUAACAACGGCUAGUGUGGGAUGGGCCCGCGGCCUAUCAGCUUGUUGGUGGGGCACUGGCAUACCAAGGCGGCGACGGGUAGCCGGACCUAGAGGGUGGCCGGCCCCAUUGUGCCUGGGAGACGGCCCAGACUCCUCCGGGAGGCAGUGGUGAGGAGUAUUGCACACUGGGCGGAAGCCUGAUGCAGCGCCGCCGCGUGGGUGAUGACGGUCUUCGGGUUGUAAACGCCUUUCACCAUCGACGCGGUAGAUGGAGAAGAGGCACCGGCUAACUACGUGCCAGCAGCCGCGGUAAUAC